rnacentral:sRNA from 1 species
AGAUUCCGGAAAGGGGAAGAGCAGCCAACAUGGCGGCGGAACGCGGCGCGGGGCAGCAACAGUCGCAGGAGAUGAUGGAGGGCGGGUCGAGUCCGAAGAAUCCGGCGAUGAAGAAGGGAAGAAACACAGCAGUGGCAUCGUGGCCGACCUCAGUGAACAGAGCCUGAAGGAUGGGGAGGAGCGGGGGGAGGAGGACCCAGAAGAAGAACAUGAGCUGCCUGUGGACAUGGAAACCAUCAACCUGGACAGAGAUGCAGAGGAUGUUGAUUUGAAUCACUAUCGCAUAGGAAAGAUUGAAGGAUUUGAGGUACUGAAGAAAGUGAAGGUGAGAGGGACUCUCAUGAGGGGACUAUGACGCUCACCCAUAGGAUGUGGAUAAGUCCAGAAUCGAGCAAUCAGUCCUAAGUUGUGGUCCUUGUCCCAGCCUGUGGGAGGCGUGGCUGCCUCCACCUUGUAGCAGGCCUUUGUUCACUGGGAGCACAGCAGGUGUGAGACAGCAGUCGAGGGACUUGAGGCACAGCCCUGAGGCUGGCUCUCCGGAGCCCAGGCAGCCAGUGACCUGUGACUCUGGCCUGCCUCAGU